rnacentral:misc_RNA from 1 species
AAGUCGUAACAAGGUUUCCGUAGGUGAACCUGCGGAAGGAUCAUUAACACGUACUACAUCCAUAUUCAAACCCAACGCGAAUUUUUUUAUCUCCCUUUGUGCUCGUAUUCAGAGCCUUAGGCUAACUUUGUGGGUGCACAUUCUAUGUGUGUCGCCCACUUUUAUAUCAAUUUUUACCCCAAUCUCUAAACAAACAUUAAUCAGUGGCUAUGUGUUUUCAUGUAGUUCCUACUGACCCUUCUUCGGAACCUCUUGAAACAGGUUCCUGUGCUUCUCUUAUGAGAAUCAUGAAUACAAUAGUGUAAACACACAACUCUUAGCAAUGGAUAUCUAGGUUCUC